rnacentral:rRNA from 1 species
ACUCAAAUGAAUUGACGGGGACCCGCACAAGCGGUGGAUGAUGUGGUUUAAUUCGAUGCAACGCGAAAAACCUUACCUACCCUUGACAUGUCUGGGAUUUUGCAGAGAUGUGAAAGUGCUCGAAAGAGAACCAGAACACAGGUGCUGCAUGGCCGUCGUCAGCUCGUGUCGUGAGAUGUUGGGUUAAGUCCCGCAACGAGCGCAACCCUUGUCAUUAGUUGCUACGAAAGGGCACUCUAAUGAGACUGCCGGUGAUAAACCGGAGGAAGGUGGGGAUGACGUCAGGUCAUCAUGGCCCUUAUGGGUAGGGCUACACACGUCAUACAAUGGCCGGUACAAAGGGCAGCCAACCCGCGAGGGGGAGCCAAUCCCAAAAAACCGGUCGUAGUCCGGAUCGCAGUCUGCAACUCGACUGCGUGAAGUCGGAAUCGCUAGUAAUCGUGGAUCAGCAUGCCGCGGUGAAUACGUUCCCGGGUCUUGUACACACCGCCCGU